UACGUAGGGUGCAAGCGUUAAUCGGAAUUACUGGGCGUAAAGCGUGCGCAGGCGGUUUUGUAAGUCUGUCGUGAAAUCCCCGGGCUCAACCUGGGAAUUGCGAUGGAGACUGCAAGGCUGGAGUCUGGCAGAGGGGGGUAGAAUUCCACGUGUAGCAGUGAAAUGCGUAGAUAUCUGGAGGAACACCGGUGGCGAAGGCGGCAUCCUGGACCAUUACUGACGCUGAGGAGCGAAAGCCAGGGGAGCAAACGGG
rnacentral:rRNA from 1 species